GUGCUCGCUUCGGCAGCACAUAUAUUAAAA
rnacentral:snRNA from 1 species